GUCGAACGGUAGAGGGGGCAACCCCUUGAGAGUGGCGAACGGGUCAUUAAUAUAUCCGAACGUGCCCCGUCGUGGGGGAUAACGUAGUGGAAAUUACGCUAAUACCGCAUACGAUCUAUGGAUGAAAGCGGGGGAUCGCAAGACCUCCCGCGAUUGGAGCGGCCGAUAUCAGAUUAGGUAGUUGGUGAGGUAAAGGCUCACCAAGCCGACGAUCUGUAGCUGGUCUGAGAGGACGACCAGCCACACUGGAACUGAGACACGGUCCAGACUCCUACGGGAGGCAGCCGUGGGGAAUUUUGGACAAUGGACGCAAGUCUGAUCCAGCCAUUCCGCGUGCAGGACGAAGGCCUUCGGGUUGUAAACUGCUUUUGUACAGAACGAAAAGGUCUCUAUUAAUACUAGGGGCUCAUGACGGUACUGUAAGAAUAAGCACCGGCUAACUACGUGCCAGCAGCCGCGGUAAUACGUAGGGUGCAAGCGUUAAUCGGAAUUACUGGGCGUAAAGCGUGCGCAGGCGGUUAUAUAAGACAGAUGUGAAAUCCCCGGGCUCAACCUGGGAACUGCAUUUGUGACUGUAUAGCUGGAGUGCGGCAGAGGGGGAUGGAAUUCCGCGUGUAGCAGUGAAAUGCGUAGAUAUGCGGAGGAACACCGAUGGCGAAGGCAAUCCCCUGGGCCUGCACUGACGCUCAUGCACGAAAGCGUGGGGAGCAAACAGGAUUAGAUACCCUGGUAGUCCACGCCCUAAACGAUGUCAACUGGUUGUUGGGUCUUCACUGACUCAGUAACGAAGCUAACGCGUGAAGUUGACCGCCUGGGGAGUACGGC
rnacentral:rRNA from 1 species